UUAAUCUAGAUUUAAAAGUGCCUACUGUGGAAACACGUCUGAUCUCAUCUGAAAGCUGAUUCCAGCUACAGAUUUAAAAGUGCCUACUGUUGAAACACAUCUGAUCUCAUCCGAAAGCUGAUUCCAGCUACAGAGUGAAAUGCACACGGUGAGGAAUGGACCCAGACCUUCAGUGCCAGACCUCUGACCCGUUAACCUCCAUCCUGACAGCCAGCGCCUUCUCCGGCUCCCAUUGCGGUAUCGCUUCUCUGCUUUUUGGAUAAGAUCAAGUGGACACCGGGGACUACAAGUUUAAAUGGAUUUUUGACCUUCGGAAAUGGAAGCGAGGCUUGCUCCGUCCACUCCAUUCAUCGACUCGGGCGCUUUCCGGGCACAAAUAAGUUUGCGGAGGUGACACGAUGACAACUUAAACAUCAUCGACACAGCUGAAAAAGCGAACGAGACAGAUUGGGAUGUUCAAAACACCUGACAACUUUUUUCACUGUACUACAGCUGUCGAAGAACCACAGCAACGUCAACAGACCUGGAAGCAUAGCUGUAUUUGUUUAACUCACAACGACAACGGCUGUCAAAAAAACCACAGCAACAUCGACAGACCUGGAAGCAAAGCUGUAUUUGUUUAACUUGCAAAGACAACGGGUCAAUUAUGAGUGAAGAACCGUUCACCAAAUGAAGACCACAGCCAGGUGACAGGAUUGUGUGGUUAUCACAAACAGAUUUAAAAGUGCCUACUGUUGAAACACAUCUGAUCUCAUCUGAAAGCUGAUUCCAGCUACAGCCGAAGAGGAAACACGUCCGGAAGACCAACUGAUCAGACGCCAACAAACGCUUAUCACAGACCUUUCCUCACCAGAGCGGGAAGCUGUGGAGGAGUUGUGUCCCGGCAUUAGCACCAGGCGGUACAGCGUGCCUCACAUCACCCUGGCUCCAGGCACCCGGAGACGACCGAGGCACGCAACGAGCGAGCACCCAUCUCGAUGCAGCUUCACGGACCGCGGUCUGGCGAACGGAGACGCCAUCGCCCAGCAUGAAAACGGACCAUGAGACAAACAGACCCAGUUCCGGUUGCUGUGAAGAUCAUUGCAUCACUGAUCCACUGGCUGUCCUUCAACGUGAUGACCAGACGAUGCCCGACCAACGACCACCGGCUAAACCAGUUUAAUUCGCUUACCCGCCUCCUAUCCCUACCGUUUCUAUAUAUAUAUAAAUAUAUAUUAAUUCCUCCCAAGGGUUUUUGUCCUUCUAGGACUUUUUCCCAUUGGGUUUUUUUUCCUAGAGGGUUUUUAAUCCCAGGGAGAGUCAGCCAACUUUGGCUUAACUUAGCACUUUACAGUAUACGUUACAUUAUUAAUAUGCUCGCUUGUACGGUUUAACCGCUUUCUCUACUUCUUAUAUUAUCUAUUGAUUUUCUGUGUUCUCCUCUACAUCUUCUCAUGUAAAGCUGCUUUGCAACAAUUAUCACUUGUGAAAAGCGCUAUAUAAAUAAAAUUGAAUUGAAUUGAAUUGAAUCUCUUCUGAAAGCUGAUUCCAGCUACAGGUUCAUACUGUUGUAUUCUUUUAUACUGUUUCAUUCGUACUGUUUUAAAUCAUUCAGUAAAUGCAAAGUUAAACCGAUGUGUUUUUCAUCUAGAUUUAAAAGUGCCUACUGUUGAAACACAU